GAUGAACGCUGGCGGCGUGCCUAAUACAUGCAAGUCGAGCGAACGGACGAGAAGCUUGCUUCUCUGAUGUUAGCGGCGGACGGGUGAGUAACACGUGGAUAACCUACCUAUAAGACUGGGAUAACUUCGGGAAACCGGAGCUAAUACCGGAUGAUAUUUUGAACCGCAUGGUUCAAAAGUGAAAGACGGUCUUGCUGUCACUUAUAGAUGGAUCCGCGCUGCAUUAGCUAGUUGGUAAGGUAACGGCUUACCAAGGCAACGAUGCAUAGCCGACCUGAGAGGGUGAUCGGCCACACUGGAACUGAGACACGGUCCAGACUCCUACGGGAGGCAGCAGUAGGGAAUCUUCCGCAAUGGGCGAAAGCCUGACGGAGCAACGCCGCGUGAGUGAUGAAGGUCUUCGGAUCGUAAAGCUCUGUUAUUAGGGAAGAACAGAUGUGUAAGUAACUGUGCACGUCUUGACGGUACCUAAUCAGAAAGCAACGGCUAACUACGUG
rnacentral:rRNA from 1 species